rnacentral:rRNA from 1 species
UAGGGAAUCUUCCACAAUGGACGCAAGUCUGAUGGAGCAACGCCGCGUGAGUGAAGAAGGUUUUCGGACCGUAAAGCUCUGUUGUUGGUGAAGAAGGAUAGAGGUAGUAACUGGCCUUUAUUUGACGGUAAUCAACCAGAAAGUCACGGCUAACUACGUGCCAGCAGCCGCGGUAAUACGUAGGUGGCAAGCGUUGUCCGGAUUUAUUGGGCGUAAAGCGAGCGCAGGCGGAAGAAUAAGUCUGAUGUGAAAGCCCUCGGCUUAACCGAGGAAUUGCAUCGGAAACUGUUUUCUUGAGUGCAGAAGAGGAGAGUAGAACUGCCAUGUGUAGCGGUGGAAUGCGUAGAUAUAUGGAAGAAUACCAGUGGCGAAGGCGGCUCUCUGGUCUGCAACUGACGCUGAGGCUCGAAAGCAUGGGUAGCGAACAGGAUUAGAUACCCUGGUAGUCCAUGCCGUAAACGAUGAGUGCUAAGUGUUGGGAGGCUUCCGCCUCUCAGUGCUGCAGCUAACGCAUUAAGCACUCCGCCUGGGGGAGUACGACCGCAAGGUUGAAAC